UACGAGGGGGGCAAGCGUUGUUCGGAUUUAUUGGGCGUAAAGGGUGCGUAGGCGGUUUGGCAAGUCUUGUGUGAAAUCUUUGGGCUCAACCCAAAGCCUGCAUAAGAAACUGCCGGGCUGAGUAUGGGAGAGGUGAGUGGAAUUUCCGGUAUAGCGGUGAAAUGCGUAGAUAUCGGAAGGAACACCUGCGACGAAAGCGGCUCACUGGACCAUUACUGACGCUGAGGCACGAAAGCUAGGGGAGCAAACAGG
rnacentral:rRNA from 1 species